rnacentral:rRNA from 1 species
GGAGGAAAGUAGGGGAUCGCAAGACCUUGCGCUCUUGGAGCGGCCGAUGUCUGACUAGCUAGUUGGUGAGGUAAAGGCUUACCAAGGCGACGAUCAGUAGCUGGUCUGAGAGGACGACCAGCCACACUGGGACUGAGACACGGCCCAGACUCCUACGGGAGGCAGCAGUGGGGAAUUUUGGACAAUGGGGGAAACCCUGAUCCAGCCAUGCCGCGUGAGUGAAGAAGGCCUUCGGGUUGUAAAGCUCUUUCAGCCGGAACGAAACGGUCACGGCUAAUACCUGUGACUACUGACGGUACCGGAAGAAGAAGCACCGGCUAACUACGUGCCAGCAGCCGCGGUAAUACGUAGGGUGCAAGCGUUAAUCGGAAUUACUGGGCGUAAAGCGUGCGCAGGCGGUUUUGUAAGUCAGAUGUGAAAUCCCCGGGCUUAACCUGGGAACUGCGUUUGAAACUACAAGGCUAG